UCAGCUACUAAUUACCAGCAGCUCAUGAAACCUCUCUUCAUUUCUUUUGUUUCUAAUCUUAUUACAAGGUUAAAAGUCUAUGUUUAGACUCAACAUACUAAUAUAAACAAAACUUCAGAGGACAUAUGCAUAGAGUAUUAACAGAUAAAAAGGUAAGAUUUAGAAAGAACAAAACAAUUAACUUCAUCAACAUUUCCAGAUUUCAAGCAAUGGCCAGACUGUGUGGAAACUUCAUCCAUGCCAACGUUCCUGGGGGGUGGUGUCAAGUAUCAUAAUCUGUAGGAAAGCAGUGUGUCUUAGAAUGAAUCAUACCAUCAACAUGGUAGUGCCAUUUCAUGGCCCUGGUCUUUGCAACCCUAGGAAACGUGGUGAAGAUCUAAGUGAAAGGAGGGAAGAGCUUUAUGAUGAAAGACACUUGUCACAUGAUGAAUUAGGGCACAAUUGAAAGUGGGAAGGAAUUAUGUGAACUCUGAACCCUACGGUCAUGGAAUGAGUUAGGAAAGGAUGGAACAACAGUUUUGAUCCUAUUGUACAUUUUCAAUCAUGUGAAAAGUGUUUCAUGUGUAAAAUUGUAUUAGGGGACACAUAGGAGGAGGAUGAGAACAUGGGCAGAUUAUUGAAAAUCAUACCCAAUAUUGGGCCUUAUCUGACAAAAGCAACUAUAACUCACAGGCAACAAAAUGGACAAAGACAAGAACAGCUGCAGCAGGCAGAACUCACCUUCAGACACCAGAUCGCAGGUCAUGAGAAGAAUGCUCAGGACAACUGGAUCAAGCCUCAGAUCUGGGAGAGGGAAACGGCAGAGCAGAGCCAGGAGGUCGCCCGCUUGAAACACAGACUGGAUGGGAUGGAAGGAAAGAGGCUGCUUGAGGGAUACGGGAGGCGGAGACCAAUGCCUGGAAGUCCAGAGACACAGAACCCUCCGAGGAGAGGGUCCUUAGCAGAUCCAGAAACUGGUGCAACCUCUGUGAGUUACAGCAGCUCUGACUGUAUGAAGAAUGCAGACAAGGACAAGGUCCUGACAUCUUUUAAGAAGUGAGAUAGAACGGGCUGGACUAUAAAUAAAACUGCUGCUGGCAAGAAGAAAACAUGAGGGGUUGCUACCAUAAAAUCCCACCAUGAAAACUUGAAAAGAAAAAUGCCUCAGCUCACAGCACAGCUCAUGGCACACAGUGGAGAUUCAAAAGGUAUUCACUGAAUGAGUGACUGACAGAAUGAAGGAAGAUUUCAGAUUCCAUAAACUGUGUGUGCUGCAGUGCAAGUGGCAGGUCCCUAUUCCCACCAGCGUCUCCUGCUUGACUCUUCACUCUUCCCACAUGGGACUGUCUUCAGAGGAAUGCCUUUGGGAACUGCAGCCCCUUCCCUGGAAAGUCAAAGGACGUGGGUAUUUCUUCCCUCCACCCAAAGAAGCCAGUGACUGGUAAAAGUAUAGAAGCAGCAACUCUUCCUCCCGGUGGGAUAAGGUCUGAGGUACAAUUUCUGUUCCAUUGCUCCUUGCAUGGUCAUGCAGGUUAUGGGGCUGGACCUGAAAUCUCACCUUUGUUCCCUUUCCUCCACUCUACCCCGCUUCUUCAGCUCUGUCUAGAGGGAGAACAUGAUUCUUGGGGCAGGACUGCCUUUGGGAGAAUCCACUGUGGGACAAAUUGGCCAGUGAUCGUUUAUCAAGCACUUCCUGUACACAAAACACAAUUAUUGGGUAACACCAGGAAGUAGAUUGACUGGUGCUUCAUUCCCUUCAGCCCUCAUCUUUAGGGAUAGUACAGUUCUAAAAAUAUUCAACCCUCAAUGAUACCAUUUCAGCCAGCACUUUGUUAUUUUGGCAUUUUUAAAAUAAAAACUUACCACAACAGUGGGUAGCCCAUUUUAAAAAAAUAAAGGAUGCUAGAAAAUCAAUAGCUUUUACUCUAAAGUUGUAGAGAAGGUUCCAACUCCGGAUUUUCUGGGAUGAUUCUUCCAGGGGAACUUGCACCAGCUAUAAUCACAUGGUUUUCCCAGAUACCAAAAUAGAGGAGUUAUUUUGAAAGGUCAGUAAUGGAGUCUUGAUGUUGGCAGUCUUGAGGAAAUCAUUGAUUGCCCCAUUAAUAUUUUAACCUGCAUGAAAGAUAAGUAAAGGCUAAUCUUGUUUUAAAAAUACUCUACUAAAACCCAUCUAUCAAACAGGUCCACAUUUGAUUCCAUUAAUGCUAGUGAUAAAAAUCAUAGAUCAGGGUUUCUCAACUUUGGCAUUAUGGACAUUUUGGGCUAGAUAAUUCUUUGUUACGGGGGCUGUCUUAUACACUGUGGGAUAUUUAGGAGCGCCCCUAGCUUCUACCCACUAGAUUCCAGGAGCACAUCUCCAUCCCCACCCUGGCCAGUUGUGACAACCAAAACAUAUUUCCAGGCAUUGCCAAAUGUUCCCUAAAGACAAACUUGUCCCUGGAUAAGGACCACUGAUCAUAAGUGGUAAAUUCCAGAGGUUUGAGGUUCAGGGGCAGGAGAGUGGGUGUCAAAAGAGAACUCUCAUUUCUUUUCCUUUCCUUUAAGUGUAAUUGUGAAGAAUAAAAGAUGUCAUCUGGAUUCUGGAGAUUAUAAAUAGAACCCCCUAUAAAUGGGCACUGAAGUGAAUAGUUGAGGUCGGCUUUAAGACUGAUACAGAGCAUUUUUACACAGUGUCCUUCUUUAGAAAAGAGGUUCACAUAGUAAAGAAGAUUGUUUAAAAACGUGUGUCAUGAUUUGUCUUGAUGAUUAAAAGACUAUCUGGGAACUUGGUAGAUCAAAUCUAACUACUGAUUAAACAGAUUUCUCCCUAACACUUUUGGGUCAGCUUUUCUUUCCCGCUUGAAAAAAAGCAGGUCGCAAACAUCUGUUUUGAGUCCUUGGAAACUUGAAAAGAUUAAAAUCAAAAAUAAGAAGAAAAUAAACAAAGUUUCUGUUACCAUCUGUCUCCUAACGGUCUCUCACUUCAAAUUAUUGUGGUUGUAGAGAAGGGCAGACAUUUUAAGUCUUUUGAAUCCCUAAAGUAAGGCAAUAAGGAGGCCUUUGUGGAUAACUUUAAAGACAGUGAGGAUUACAGUAAAUCUUUUUUUUUCCUUUAAAUCCAAUUCAACGCAUGUAUUUCCAGUCUCUUGGUGAUGUAUCUGUUUGAAUGAAGCACAUUGUCAGCCAAACAGUCAAUGCUACAUCAAGCCUCCAUCAACUUAGAUAGACUCUGUUAGUGAAAAGUAUCCAAUCAAAAACUGAAUCCUUGGAUAUUUUGAAUACUUAUUAAAAGCAUUCUGUCAGAUGGAGGGAUGUUGUUUUAUGCAUUUUAUGCUUAGGUCCUUCUGGAAUCAAUUUGCUUAUCCCCUCAUCAAUACCCGAAGCCAAAGGUAUGACAUGUCUUACUUAUAAUAAAGCCACUGCAAAAUUCUUUCAUGUGUUCCUAUGGUUGAACAUUUUAUAUAUUAACACUUGAGUACUUUCCAGUAUUUGGCUUUUUGUAUUUUGGAGUUUACUUCACACGCUCUGUUAGGCACAGUUAAAUGGUUAAAUAUCUACUCUGCUGUGUUUCUACCAAAGAGAACUAAUGUUUGGCUUCUUUCUAAUGUAAUUCCUUAUCAGCUCCAUCUAGGAACUGGCAAAGUCAACAGCUAAGUGAGCUGCCUGGUGGUCCCAAUUUUAAAGUGGCUGGAUAAAGUUUCAUGGGUUUUAAAACCUAAAUUCUAGUCAUUAUUUUACAGUCUAGUAGGGGAGUCAGACAUUAGGCAACGAGUUACACCAGUAAAUGUAAAAUUACCAAUUUGUUUAAGGCAGCAUUUCUCAACCUCAGUAGUAUUGACAUUUGGGGCUGGAUAAUUCCUUGUUGUUGAGCGGCUGACCUGUGUAUUGUAGGAUGCAUAAUAGCAUCCCUGGCCUCUACACACCUGGAGAACCUCACACCCCCUCCCCUCCAAUUGUGACCCCCCCCCCCCACAAUGUCUCCAGACAUUGCCAUAUGUCCUCUGGGGGACACAACCAUCCCCAAAUGAGAAGCAAGAAGGUACCAAGAGGACCGAGAAGUUCAUGGUAUUAUCCAGAGUGUACAGCCAGUGAUGUAGCACAGCCUGGAUUUUCUGGAAAGACUUCUCUGAGGCUAUGAUGUCUGAGCUAAAAUCUCAAUGGUUAACAGGAGUUAACAAGGCAAAGUGGGGAAAGAAAGCAUUUAAUUCAUUUGUUCAUCCAAGAGAUACUUAGUCUUAAAAAAGUAAGACAAAGUUGGAGGAACCACACUACUUCGUGUUAAGAUUUACCAUAAAGCUGUAGCAAUCAAGACAGCAUGAUAUUGGCUAAGGGAUAUACACAUAGAUGCAUAGAACCACAUGGAGAGUCCAGAAAUACACAAAAAUGGCCUGUGGAGUUUUCACAAAGGACAAAGACAACUCAAGUGAGAAAUGCUAGCCUUUACGGUAAGUGUUAUUAGAACAGUUAGACAUUCAAAUGUUUUAAAAAAUUAACCUCUUGGGACACCUGGGUGGCUCAGUCGGUUAAGCAUCCGACUUCAGUUCAGGUCAUGAUCUCACGGUUUGCGAGUUCAAGCCCUGCGCCAGGCUCUGUGCUGACAGCUCAGAGCCUGGAGCCUGCUUCAGAUUCUGUGUCUCCCUCUCCCUCUGCCCCUCCCCUGCUCAUGCUCUGUCUGUCUGUCUGUCUCUCUCUCAAAAACAAAUAAACAUUAAAAAAAAUUAACCUCUUACCUAAACCUCACACUUUAUAAAAAAAAUUAACUCAACAUGAAAUGAAAAACUAUAAAACAUUUAAAAGAAAACAGAGUCAAAUUGGCAUGACCUGGUGUUGGAAAAAGAGAUCUUAAAGAUUACACUAAAAGCAUGAGAAGGAGGAGGAGGAGAAGGAGAAGAAGAAGAGGAAGAGGAAGAAGAGGAAGAAGAACUCCUUGAAUGCCGGCUCUAUGUCACUUCUGUUCUAGGUGCUGGCGAUACAGCAAUCAAUGAAUCAAAAUAACAGCCAUGCUUUUCGAGCUUCUCUUGUAGUAGGGAAGACAGUUAAUAACCAGGCAAAACAAGAGACAGGUGUAGAAGGCUAUUUCAUCUAGAGUGGGCAGGAAAAUACUCUCUGACUACGUGAUCUUUUUGCUGGUUCCUGGGUAAUGAGAAUAAGUCAGCCAAACAAAGACCUGGGGGAAAUGAAUUCUAGGCAGAGAUAGUAGCAGGUGCAUAGUGACCACAGGAGAGAGUCUGAGAAUGUCCGGUACCAAAUCUCCUUCCCACCCAUUUGAAAUCCUGACCGUGAGAUUAAGAAACUAAAACCCAGAGGUGUUUAAUGGCUGGCUAAGCAGUUGCUUACAUGAUGACCUAUUUCUGGAGUCCAUUUAGGUACAAAUAGACCAGAUCACCAUUGGCAGAGUAAAAAUCAAAGAUACAUUGUUGGCAGAACCUGCAUUACUCUAUUUUUCAGGACAAUCCAUCCAAGAUCACACUGUUUGAGUGGUCAAGAGAAGCCAUCAUUGGAUGUAUCCAUUCUGUGGCUAAGAGAAAGAGCUCUUAAUAUGGCAUUGGCUAUAAAUCUAGCCCCCUUUCCUGAAGACAAAAUUUACAAGAGAGAUAAACAGCCUCCAAUUCCUGUUAAUAGAGUCUACAAGAUUGCUUUAUAAUGAGGAAGGCAAUUGACAAGAUCAUUUAAAAAGAAGUGAUGUGGCAAAUGCACCCAGAGGCUAUGUUUUCUAAUAAAAAGGUUGCUUUCAAUGACAUACAAUAUUUAGCAGAGCACUUUCCUGUGUUUAUUUUUCCCAAAAUAGCAGCAGUUUCCAAAUGCUAGUUCCCUACCCCCAUCCUGAUAAUUCCCCAAGGAUUCAGAUUCUCCAGGGAUACUGUUGAAUUUUAGAGCUAUAACUAUCUAACUAUCCCAUUUUACAAAGAAAGGAACCGAGGCCCAGAAGAACUGAAUGAGUCGCCAAGGUCAUAAAAUAAUUUGUAACAUUGCCAAGAAUAUCCUUUUCUAAGUAUUCCAGUCCAUGUUUCUUGCCCUGCAUGAACUAACGCCUUUAUUUUGCAUAGAUUGCUCAUUAAACGAAGUGUGUUAUGAACUGAAAUCCACACUUCCCUUUGUCAUUGCCUAUCACACUAAACCAGGGGUAGAGUUUGCCCUUCAUGGGACAUCUGGCAAUCCCUGGAGACGCUCUGGUUAUCACAACCUGUGACGAAGAGUCUACUAGCUUCUAGUGGGUAGAGGCCAAGGAUGCUGCUAAACAUCCUAUAAUGCAUAGGAAAGCUUCCAUAGCACAGAAUUUUCUAACCAGAUUGACCAUAGUGACACAUUUGAGAAGUGUCGCCCUAGGCUUUGCAUACUGCCUUUCUUCAGUAAACUUUCAGGUCAGUGAGAUCGGGGCCUUUCCUCAUUUACUCUUGUCUCUGCUUCUGGCAAUCUGUCCGUGCUGCUGGCAGUCAAUGCAUUCUCAACACUUAAAUGUUAAAUUAAAUUAAAUUAAAUUUAAGACGCAGUGAAAGGCAGCAAUUCCUUCAAAAACUGCUGAGAGGCAGAGGAAUUGCAGAAACCAACGAUUACUUCCCAUAGUUAGGAAACAUUUAAAAAUGACAGUUCUUCAUCUUUUGGAGAGCACACAUCUCUCUGAGAAUCUCACAAGAGCCAUGGAUGCUUUCCUCAUAAAACUACCAUCCUUAACAAAAUUUCCAUACAACAGGACCAAUGGACUGACUCCCUGACAUACUACAGGGGUCAGAAGUUCUGGGUCUCGAAAAUAGUAUAGAAUAUUUUUUUACUUCUCCUCACCCUUUGGAUAGGAUAGUAAACCACUGGUUCAAUAAUGACUGUCAUUCUUUUUUUUUUUUUUAAUGUUUAUUUAUUUUUGAGAGAGAGAGAGGGAGACACAGAAUCCAAAGCAGGCUCCAG